CCUGUCUCUUACACCUGGACAUGUGCUACUGCAAAAGGGACUAGACAGACACCAGAGGGAGCUCAAGUUACCGAACCCUUUUCUCAGGAGCAAAGGUGACAUCAGUUAGGGAAUAUGGAAUCUGCAUGUACAGCCUGCUAUAUUUAAAGUAGAUAACCAACACGGACUUACUGUAUAGUUAUGGAAUUGUCCUCAAGAUUAGGUAGCAUACUGGAUACAAGGGGAGUUUGGGGCAGAAUAGAUACUUGUAUAUGGAUGGCUCAGGCGCUUUUCUAUGAAACUAUGAAACCUGAAACUAUGACAACAUUGUUAAUUCCCUCG
ensembl:lncRNA